rnacentral:rRNA from 1 species
UUCAUGGAGAGUUUGAUCCUGGCUCAGGACGAACGCUGGCGGCGUGCCUAAUACAUGCAAGUCGAGCGGAUCGACGGGAGCUUGCUCCCUUAGGUCAGCGGCGGACGGGUGAGUAACACGUGGGUAACCUGCCUGUAAGACUGGGAUAACUCCGGGAAACCGGGGCUAAUACCGGAUGCUUGAUUGAACCGCAUGGUUCAAUUAUAAAAGGUGGCUUUUAGCUACCACUUACAGA